rnacentral:rRNA from 1 species
GAUGAACGCUGGCGGCGUGCUUAACACAUGCAAGUCGAGCGAAGCACUUAGGAAAGAUUCUUCGGAUGAUUUCCUUUGUGACUGAGCGGCGGACGGGUGAGUAACGCGUGGGUAACCUGCCUCAUACAGGGGGAUAACAGUUAGAAAUGACUGCUAAUACCGCAUAAGACCACGGUACCGCAUGGUACAGUGGUAAAAACUCCGGUGGUAUGAGAUGGACCCGCGUCUGAUUAGGUAGUUGGUGGGGUAACGGCCUACCAAGCCGACGAUCAGUAGCCGACCUGAGAGGGUGACCGGCCACAUUGGGACUGAGACACGGCCCAGACUCCUACGGGAGGCAGCAGUGGGGAAUAUUGCACAAUGGAGGAAACUCUGAUGCAGCGACGCCGCGUGAAGGAUGAAGUAUUUCGGUAUGUAAACU